GACGAACGCUGGCGGCGUGCUUAACACAUGCAAGUCGAGCGGAAAGGCCCUUUCGGGGGUACUCGAGCGGCGAACGGGUGAGUAACACGUGAGUAAUCUGCCCUGGACUUCGGGAUAGCUUCGGGAAACCGAGAUUAAUACCGGAUAUGACAUUGUCUCGCAUGGGAUGGUGUGGAAAGUUUUUUCGGUUCAGGAUGUGCUCGCGGCCUAUCAGCUUGAUGGUGGGGUAAUGGCCUACCAUGGCUUUGACGGGUAGCCGGCCUGAGAGGGUGACCGGUCACACUGGGACUGAGACACGGCCCAGACUCCUACGGGAGGCAGCAGUGGGGAAUAUUGGACAAUGGGCGGAAGCCUGAUCCAGCAACGCCGCGUGAGGGAUGACGGCCUUCGGGUUGUAAACCUCUUUCACCAACGACGAAGGUUCGGGUUUUCUCGGAUUGACGGUAGGUGGAGAAGAAGCACCGGCCAACUACGUGCCAGCAGCCGCCGUAACAC
rnacentral:rRNA from 1 species